rnacentral:rRNA from 1 species
CCCUUAGAUGUUCUGGGCUGCACGCGUGCUACACUGAUAUUGCCAAUAUGUCAUUCUUAUCCGAAAUGGAUUGGGUAAUCAAGUAAUGAAAUUUCAUGCUUGGAAUCGGUAAUUGCAAUUUUAUCGUGAACGAGGAAUUCCUAGUAAGCACUAGUCAUCAGCUAAUGUUGAUUAUGUCCCUGCCCUUUGUACACACCGCCCGUCGCUACUACUGAUUGGGUGUUCAAGUGAGAUGCUUAGACCCUUGUUGCAUGGUUCAUUAUUGUGCUCCGAAAGGAAAAAGUUUCAAGCUUGCGUGUCUAGAGGAAGUAAAAGUCGUAACA